rnacentral:tRNA from 1 species
GUUUGCAUAGCUCAGUCUGGUAGAGCAAUCGAUUCGUAAUCGAUCAGUCGUAGGUUCAAAUCCUAUUGCGGAUA